rnacentral:lncRNA from 1 species
CCCGACCACCCGUCCGGCUCAGCCGCGCUCGGGGCCCCGGGCGCUCAGGUGAAGCCCUGCAAAGACAGAUGGAUCUGAUUAGUGCACCCAGGUCCUAAGGGCGUGUGCUCGGCACAUUUAAUGUGAAAUGGGGUCAAGCGGCCAUGCGGAGCAGUGGAGUCUGGGGAGAAAUUCACCCGGGUGGAGGCGCCUAAGAAGGGUCGAGAUCUUUAGGCAUUUUCCGUGGGCAGCCGAAAGCAGAAAUUAGGAAGCAACGCUCUGCUUUGCGCAGAGUGGGUCCGCAUCUUGGAGUGACAGACUGGCGGCGUGGGUCAAAGAGACAAGACUUCAAAAUCCUGAAGUAAAUGUGGCAAACUUAUCCCUUCGGCCUUGUAAGGUUUUGGGCAAAUUCUUUUCUCGUCAUACAAGUCAGGUUUAUUUGGAAUACGGUGAAUAUUUUGCCAGCAUACAAACUUGAAGAACUGAGAUUUGACCUGGCUUGCUGUAUGUAAAAUACCAUCAUUCUCGAUGAAUAAAUAGAACCAAUUUUUCA